rnacentral:rRNA from 1 species
GACGAACGCUGGCGGCGUGCCUAAUACAUGCAAGUAGAACGCACAGUUUAUACCGUAGCUUGCUACACCAUAGACUGUGAGUUGCGAACGGGUGAGUAACGCGUAGGUAACCUGCCUGGUAGCGGGGGAUAACUAUUGGAAACGAUAGCUAAUACCGCAUAAUAUUAAUUAUUGCAUGAUAAUUGAUUGAAAGAUGCAACUGCAUCACUACCAGAUGGACCUGCGUUGUAUUAGCUAGUAGGUGAGGUAACGGCUCACCUAGGCGACGAUACAUAGCCGACCUGAGAGGGUGAUCGGACACACUGGGACUGAGACACGGCCCAGACUCCUACGGGAGGCAGCAGUAGGGAAUCUUCGGCAAUGGACGAAAGUCUGACCGAGCAACGCCGCGUGAGUGAAGAAGGUUGUCGGAUCGUAAAGCUCUGUUGUAAGAGAAGAACGGGUGUGAGAGUGGAAAGUUCACACUGUGACGGUAUCUUACCAGAAAGGGACGGCUAACUACGUG